rnacentral:rRNA from 1 species
UACGGAGGGGGCUAGCGUUGUUCGGAAUUACUGGGCGUAAAGCGCACGUAGGCGGCUUUGCAAGUUAGAGGUGAAAGGCCCGGGGCUCCAACCCCGGAACUGACCUUUGAAACUAGAUGACUAGAAUCUUGGAGAGGUCAGUGGAAUUCCGAGUGUAGAGGUGAAAUUCGUAGAUAUUCGGAAGAACACCAGUGGCGAAGGCGACUGACUGGACAAGUAUUGACGCUGAGGUGCGAAAGCGUGGGGAGCAAACAGG